rnacentral:sRNA from 1 species
CCAUAGCCCUGAUAGAAGCGGUAUCCUUUUUCUGGCUCCUUUAGCCAGGAAAAGAUACAAGUGGAUAGCAGGAAACAGC